UACAGAGGUCUCAAGCGUUGUUCGGAUUCAUUGGGCGUAAAGGGUGCGUAGGCGGCGCGGUAAGUCGGGUGUGAAAUCUCGGGGCUUAACUCCGAAACUGCAUUCGAUACUGCCGUGCUUGAGGACUGGAGAGGAGACUGGAAUUUACGGUGUAGCGGUGAAAUGCGUAGAUAUCGUAAGGAAGACCAGUGGCGAAGGCGGGUCUCGUGGACAGUUCCUGACGCUGAGGCACGAAGGCCAGGGGGAGCAAACGGGG
rnacentral:rRNA from 1 species